rnacentral:rRNA from 1 species
ACCACCACGGAUUGUUCAAGAUUGACCAUCCUCUGUCUCUGCCGAGAAGUGGAUACCAAGGGGACCCUCGUAGCCGCCCUUCCUCGCAAGGAUCCCAGGAACAACCACCUUGUCAAACCUAAGAAGGUAGAGGAACCGAUGGAUCAACUGAUCCAAACUUGCUUUCCCACGCACAGAUGGAGCAAGAGUGGCAGUUACAUAGGGUCCCAUCUGAUCAGGUUUGGCCAACAACCGUU